GAACUGCCUCCAAAACUAUCAGUCUGGAGUUCGAGAGAGGUGAGUGGAAUUGCGAGUGUAGAGGUGAAAUUCGUAGAUAUUCGCAGGAACACCAGUGGCGAAGGCGGCUCACUGGCUCGAUACUGACGCUGAGGUGCGAAAGUGUGGGGAGCAAACAGGAUUAGAUACCCUGGUAGUCCACACCGUAAACGAUGAAUGCCAGUCGUCGGGUUGCAUGCAAUUCGGUGACACACCUAACGGAUUAAGCAUUCCGCCUGGGGAGUACGGUCGCAAGAUUAAAACUCAAAGGAAUUGACGGGGGCCCGCACAAGCGGCGGAGCAUGUGGUUUAAUUCGAAGCAACGCGCAGAACCUUACCAACCCUUGACAUGGGUAUCGCGGAACCAGAGAU
rnacentral:rRNA from 1 species